rnacentral:rRNA from 1 species
GUGAGGAAUAUUGGUCAAUGGACGGAAGUCUGAACCAGCCAAGUAGCGUGCAGGAUGACGGCCCUAUGGGUUGUAAACUGCUUUUAUGCGGGGGUAAAGUGAGUGACGUGUCAUUCAUUGCAAGUACCGCAAGAAUAAGGACCGGCUAAUUCCGUGCCAGCAGCCGCGGUAAUACGGAAGGUCCUGGUGUUAUCCGGAUUUAUUGGGUUUAAAGGGAGCGUAGGCCGUCAGGCAAGCGUGUUGUGAAAUGUCGUGGCUCAACCAUGGACUUGCAGCGCGAACUGCCCGACUGGAGUGCGCGGAAAGCAGGCGGAAUUUGUGGUGUAGCGGUGAAAUGCUUAGAUAUCACGAAGAACCCCGAUUGCGAAGGCAGCCUGCUGUAGCGCUACUGACGCUGAAGCUCGAAAGUGCGGGUAUCGAACAGGAUUAGAAACCCUAGUAGUCC